GUCAGAGGGUGCAAGCGUUGUUCGGAAUCAUUGGGCGUAAAGAGCGUGUAGGCGGCCCGGUAAGUCCGCUGUGAAAGUCCAGGGCUCAACCCUGGGAUGCCGGUGGAUACUGUCGGGCUCGAGUCCGGAAGAGGAGUGUGGAAUUCCUGGUGUAGCGGUGAAAUGCGCAGAUAUCAGGAGGAACACCGGUGGCGAAGGCGGGUCUCUGGGCCGAUACUGACGCUGAGGAGCGAAAGCAUGGGUAGCGAACAGG
rnacentral:rRNA from 1 species